CUUGGAAUAGAUUCCCCUGGGCUGUCCUUCUUCUACCUUGUCAGCAAAGAACAGAUUCACUUGCGCACAGAGACAUCCAGUUUGAGCAGAACACGCUGAGGAGGUCGGUGGAGAGGAAUCUAAUGAAGUCCAGCAGAAGACCUCAAUGUCCCUCUUGGAGUGUGGGGCCCAAAACCGAACCCAGGAUUCAAGGUCCAGCCUCAUCAGUGAGGUAAUUUCUAAAGAAGCAAUGCUAGGGUGAGCUAAGCUUAAAACCGAGGCUGGACAGAAUGCUUCCUUGCACGAGAGUCUUUUACUGCUGCUCAAACACCUUCAGAGUUGUCUCAGGAAGGCAGAAUGUUAGGAGCUGGAAGGGACCUCGGAAGAUCAUGCAGUCCAAACCCCAGCCAGAGCAGCAUCGCCUAGAGCAGAUCACAUGGGAACACAUCCAGGUUCUUUAAAUACAACUUUUCCAAAAACAUGAUGUCUCUUUCUGUAGCUCUAUCUGGCUGAAGAAGAGAAGAGUCUAGGGAGAUCUUAUUUGAUUUCCAUGGAGGAGCCUUUCCACCUUGGUCAACUGAACAGGCUUACACAUGGGAGAAGAUUUCCUCCUAGCUGAGGGGUAUUUGCACUGUCAGAAGGGUGGAGAGCUGCAGCCGAAGAGAACCAAAUGUGCUGAUUUCAUGGUGACACUGGCCAAGAGGAGACCACAGGGGCUGUUAUAUUCAUUUAGGAAGUUCUCAUGCAGGCUACUCAUGACCCAAGGUCAUGGCAAGGACUCUCUUCUGUGGUGUUUCUGGCUGCUGUCCCCAAGGUCCUUACUACUUCUCGCUGUGGUUGUGUGUCUUCAUGCACCACAACUGGGGACAUUGGUUUUCUCCUUUGUCAUCCUGCUCUGCCUGUGUGAGGCCACAGCUGAAAUACUGAGUUGAGUUCUGGGCUCCUCAGUUCAAGAGCGAACAGAGAAACAGAGAGAAUCUGACAUAGGCUACAAAGAAGCUGAGGGAACUGGAGCUUCUCUGUGAUGAAGAGAGGCUGAGACCUAUGGCUAUUCAGUUUGAAGAAGAGCAGACUGAGAGGGAAUCUUCUCAAUGUUUAUCAAAAGGGAGAGGAUGGCACCAGACUCUAGUCAGUUCUCAGCAACAAGCACAAACUGGAACUCAGGAAGUUCCAUCUGAACAUGAGGAAGACCUUACUGUGAGGGUGCUGAA